rnacentral:rRNA from 1 species
UGAUACGUAGGGUGCGAGCGUUGUCCGGAUUUAUUGGGCGUAAAGAGCUCGUAGGUGGUUUGUUGCGUCGGAAGUGAAAACUUGGGGCUUAACCCUAAGCUUGCUUUCGAUACGGGCGGACUUGAGGGAGGUAGGGGAGAACGGAAUUCCUGGUGGAGCGGUGGAAUGCGCAGAUAUCAGGAGGAACACCGGUGGCGAAGGCGGUUCUCUGGACCUUUCCUGACGCUGAGGAGCGAAAGCGUGGGGAGCAAACAGG